rnacentral:rRNA from 1 species
UACGUAGGUGGCAAGCGUUGUUCGGAAUUAUUGGGCGUAAAGGGCGCGUAGGCGGCUUGGUAUGUCGGGUGUGAAAUCCCCGGGCUCAACCUGGGAACUGCAUCCGAAACUGCCUUGCUCGAGUAUGGGAGAGGGAAGUGGAAUUUCCGGUGUAGCGGUGAAAUGCGUAGAUAUCGGAAGGAACAUCAGUGGCGAAGGCGACUUCCUGGACCAAUACUGACGCUCAGGUGCGAAAGCGUGGGGAGCAAACAGG